AGGGAUGAGCCAGCGGAUAGGCGACCGGAUUCCAACUCCGGUGAAAUGUGGGUUCGACUCCUACCGUCCCUG
rnacentral:tRNA from 1 species